GGUGAACGCUGGCGGUAGGCCUAACACAUGCAAGUCGAACGGCAGCACAGUAAGAGCUUGCUCUUACGGGUGGCGAGUGGCGGACGGGUGAGGAAUACAUCGGAAUCUACUUUUUCGUGGGGGAUAACGUAGGGAAACUUACGCUAAUACCGCAUACGACCUACGGGUGAAAGCAGGGGAUCUUAGGCCCUUGCGCGAUUGAAUGAGCCGAUGUCGGAUUAGCUAGUUGGCGGGGUAAAGGCCCACCAAGGCGACGAUCCGUAGCUGGUCUGAGAGGAUGAUCAGCCACACUGGAACUGAGACACGGUCCAGACUCCUACGGGAGGCAGCAGUGGGGAAUAUUGGACAAUGGGCGCAAGCCUGAUCCAGCCAUACCGCGUGGGUGAAGAAGGCCUUCGGGUUGUAAAGCCCUUUUGUUGGGAAAGAAAAGCAGCAGGUUAAUACCCCGCUGUUCUGACGGUACCCAAAGAAUAAGCACCGGCUAACUUCGUG
rnacentral:rRNA from 1 species